rnacentral:rRNA from 1 species
GAUGAACGCUAGCUAUAGGCUUAACACAUGCAAGUCGAGGGGAAACGGCAUUAUGUGCUUGCACAUUUUGGACGUCGACCGGCGCACGGGUGAGUAUCGCGUAUCCAACCUGCCCUUUACUUGGGGAUACCCCGUUGAAAGACGGCCUAAUACCCGAUGUAAUUCAUUGAUGGCAUCAGAUAUGAAUAAAAGAUUUAUCGGUAAAGGAUGGGGAUGCGUCUGAUUAGCUUGUUGGUGAGGUAACGGCUCACCAAGGCAACGAUCAGUAGGGGUUCUGAGAGGAAGGUCCCCCACAUUGGAACUGAGACACGGUCCAAACUCCUACGGGAGGCAGCAGUGAGGAAUAUUGGUCAAUGGACGGAAGUCUGAACCAGCCAAGUAGCGUGCAGGAAGACGGCCCUAUGGGUUGUAAACUGCUUUUAUACGAGAAUAAUUUGAUGCACGUGUGCGUUAUUGCAUGUAUCGUAUGAAUAAGGACCGGCUAAUUCCGUGCCAGCAGCCGCGGUUAUACGGAAUGUCCAGGCGUUAUCCGGAUUUAUUUGGGUUUAAAGGGAGUGUAGGCGGUUUGUUAAGCGUGUUGUGAAAUUUAGGUGCUCAACAUUUUAACUUUGCAGCGCGAACUGUCAGACUUUGAGUACACUCAACGUAGCGGAAUUCAUGGUGUAGCGGUGAAAUGCUUGGAUAUCAUGAUGAACUCCUAUUGCUAAUGCAGCGUACGGUGGUGGAACUGACGCUUAUGUUCUGAGGUGCGGUUUUCGUAUUGG